CCAGCUGAUAAAGACACGUCACCACAGACGUCAGUGAGGAACACUGAAGUGUCGGUCGAAACACGUCAAGGGAAAAACUAUAUCUGCUGGUCUGUGCAUGUACAACAGGAUAUUACACAGGAAGAGAGGACUCAAAUGUAAUCCUUCACAGCAUCCGACCAUCAUCCAAACAACAGUGCAACAGCACCCACUAAAUGUAUUUACAUAUAAACAAAAGCAUGUG